rnacentral:rRNA from 1 species
ACUUUAGCUUGCUAAAGUUGGAAGAGUUGCGAACGGGUGAGUAACGCGUAGGUAACCUGCCCUCUAGCGGGGGAUAACUAUUGGAAACGAUAGCUAAUACCGCAUAACAGCAUUUAACCCAUGUUAGAUGCUUGAAAGGAGCAAUUGCUUCACUAGUAGAUGGACCUGCGUUGUAUUAGCUAGUUGGUGAGGUAACGGCUCACCAAGGCGACGAUACAUAGCCGACCUGAGAGGGUGAUCGGCCACACUGGGACUGAGACACGGCCCAGACUCCUACGGGAGGCAGCAGUAGGGAAUCUUCGGCAAUGGGGGCAACCCUGACCGAGCAACGCCGCGUGAGUGAAGAAGGUUUUCGGAUCGUAAAGCUCUGUUGUAAGAGAAGAACGUGUGUGAGAGUGGAAAGUUCACACAGUGACGGUAACUUACCAGAAAGGGACGGCUAACUACGUGCCAGCAGCCGCGGUAAUACGUAGGUCCCGAGCGUUGUCCGGAUUUAUUGGGCGUAAAGCGAGCGCAGGCGGUUUAAUAAGUCUGAAGUUAAAGGCAGUGGCUUAACCAUUGUUCGCUUUGGAAACUGUUAGACUUGAGUGCAGAAGGGGAGAGUGGAAUUCCAUGUGUAGCGGUGAAAUGCGUAGAUAUAUGGAGGAACACCGGUGGCGAAAGCGGCUCUCUGGUCUGUAACUGACGCUGAGGCUCGAAAGCGUGGGGAGCAAACAGGAUUAGAUACCCUGGUAGUCCACGCCGUAAACGAUGAGUGCUAGGUGUUAGGCCCUUUCCGGGGCUUAGUGCCGCAGCUAACGCAUUAAGCACUCCGCCUGGGGAGUACGACCGCAAGGUUGAAACUCAAAUGAAUUGACGG